AUGGAUGUGUUGGAAAAACUAGUGCCACCAAGCAGUGUACAGAAAUUGACUAUAGUUGGUUACAGGAGUGUCAGCUUACCUGGUUGGUUUAUGGAUAUUACGCGGUAUCUCCCUAAUCUUUUGGAGAUAAAUCUAUAUGAUUUUCCUAGGUGCAAGAAGCUACCACCACUUGGUCUACUACGAAACUUAGAAUACCUGGGUCUCCACCGUAUGGACGGCUUGGAACAGUGGACCACGACACAUUACAGUGGCAAGGAAGGUUCAAAUGAGCUCAUGUUCCCUAAGCUUCAAAGGUUGACCAUAGAGCAGUAUGCCAAGCUGAGGAUAAAAUCGUGUCUGCCUAGAGCUAUGUAUUUGUACAUAAAAGAUUGUGAUACUAUGCUAUCAUCAUGUGGAGAGAGCUCUUCACACAGCGGUACUUCCUCAUCUUCUCCAUUAACUUGCCUGAAUGUUGCUGAAAGCAAGGUGCCCAUGCAUCAAUGGAGGUUGCUUCACCACCUCCCCGCCCUUCGUUGGUUAACUAUUACCGGUUGCAGUGAUCUGACCACCUCACCUCACAUCAUCCACAACCUCUCUUUCCUCACAGAACUGUGCCUCAAAUUCUUGUCCCAGGCAGAACUGCCGAGAUGGUUGGUUGAGCUGACAUCUCUGGAGCAACUAACUCUGCGUGGGUGUGCAAGCAUGACACUACCGGAGUGGUUAGGUGAACUUCCCUCUCUCAAGAGAUUUGAGCUCUGGAACUGCAAGGGUAUCAGGUCUUUGCCGGACAGCAUACAACAACUGACCAAGCUUGAACAUCUAUCCAUUCACGACUGCCCAACAUUAGAGAAGAGGUGUGAAUCAAAGGAGAACAAGAGGAAGCUCUCUCACAUCAAAGAGGUCGUCCCAUCAUCACUAAGGGCAGAUCCCAUUCAUGGUACUUUGAUGGGUAAGGUGCGUCGAGAUGUGGUGCGUAGUGAUGUGAUGAACACUAGGAGGCCCGCUCACAUCACAAAGAUCGUCCCAUCAUCAUUAAGGGCAGAUCCCAUUCGUUGUACUCUGAUUGGUAAGGUGCGUCAAGGUGUGCUGCGUAGUGCUGUGAUGAACACGCCUGGCUUCACGGAGGAAGAUUUGAGAGUUGCCGUAUCUCAUUUGGAAGAAACGUCCCAUUGCAUGGCUCUGUGUAUAUGGGCACACUGGUAG
rnacentral:rRNA from 1 species